rnacentral:rRNA from 1 species
AUUGAACGCUAGCGGCAGGCCUAACACAUGCAAGUCGAGCGAGCGGCGGACGGGGGUGUAAUGUAUGGGGACUGCCCGCUAGAGGGGGAUAACUACUGGAAACGGUAGCUAAUACACCAUACAAUCGGAUAACCCAUAUGGGGUUAGCUAGUAGGUGAGGGAAUGGCUCACCUAGGCGACGAUCCCUAGCUGGUCUGAGAGGAUGAUCAGCCACACUGGGACGUAGACACGGCCCAGACUCCUACGGAGGCAGCAGUGGGGAAUAUUGCACAAUGGGCGCAAGCCUGAUGCAGCCAUGCCGCGUGGAUGAAGAAGGCCCUAGGGUUGUAAAGUACUUUCAGUCGGGAGGCGUUACCGACAGAAGAAGCACCGGCUAACUCCGUGCCAGCAGCCGCGGUAAUAC